UGGGGAAUAUUGGACAAUGGGCGCAAGCCUGAUCCAGCCACGCCGCGUGAGUGAUGAAGGCCUUCGGGUCGUAAAGCUCUGUGGGGAGGGACGAACCGCUGCACGUUCAUAGCGUGCAGCAUGACGGUACCUCCUUAGCAAGCACCGGCUAACUACGUGCCAGCAGCCGCGGUAAUACGUAGGGUGCGAGCGUUAAUCGGAAUUACUGGGCGUAAAGCGUGCGCAGGCGGUUUUGUAAGACAGAGGUGAAAUCCCUCGGCUCAACCAAGGAAGUGCAUCCGAAACUGUCGAGCUUGAGUACGAAAGAGGAUCGCGGAAUUCCCGGUGUAGAGGUGAAAUUCGUAGAUAUCGGGAGGAACACCAGUGGCGAAGGCGGCGAUCUGGGUCGAUACUGACGCUGAGGUGCGAAAGCGUGGGGAGCAAACG
rnacentral:rRNA from 1 species